GGGAAAGCUGGCUGCGUGGAAGUACUACAACUGGAGAGUCUCCUGCCCUGGCUUCCUACUUUUGAUGGCCUCACUUUCCAGCCUCGUGCAUUCCUUCUUUGAGGACCCUAACAGUUAAUAGUGUGAAAGCAAGGGAAAUCCUCAGAGGCCCAAGUUGAGAAAACUCAAAUACAGAGGUAAGCAAAUGCUGAAGUCAGAACUCACCCUGAAGAUAUCUGCCAAUCCCUAGGGGGCCUAGAGCUGGGAACAGGAGCCAAACUCUGGGAC